UUCGGGUCGUAAAGCCCUGUCGAGGGGGACGAACCAGCCCGGCCCUAAUACGGUCGGGCCCUGACGGUACCCCUAAAGGAAGCCCCGGCUAACGUACGUGCCAGCAGCCGCGGUAAUACGUAGGGGGCAAGCGUUGUCCGGAAUCACUGGGCGUAAAGCGCGCGCAGGCGGCUGUCUACGUCCGGGGUGAAAGCCCAGAGCUCAACUCUGGGACUGCCUUGGAUACGGGAUGGCUUGAGGAUCGGAGAGGCAAGGGGAAUUCCACGUGUAGCGGUGAAAUGCGUAGAGAUGUGGAGGAACACCUGUGGCGAAGGCGCCUUGCUGGCCGAUUUCUGACGCUGAGGCGCGAAAGCGUGGGGAGCAAACAGGAUUAGAUACCCUGGUAGUCCACGCCGUAAACGAUGAGUGCUAGGUGUUGGGGGGUACCACCCUCAGUGCCGAAGCUAACGCAUUAAGCACUCCGCCUGGGGAGUACGGUCGCAAGACUG
rnacentral:rRNA from 1 species